rnacentral:lncRNA from 1 species
GCAGCUGCAAUCCUUUAAUGGAUGUGGCUUGGAUUCAAUCCCUGGCCCGGGAAUUCUGUAUGCCACAGGUGCAGCCAUGAAAGAAACUAAACAAACAACCCCAAUUUUUCCUGAUCUAUGUUAAAUACACUAAAUUCAUGCUUAUCAUGUUCUGUGGCUGCCUGACAUUUUUGCCUUUUUUUUUUUUUGGUUGUGGAAGUUCCUGGGCCAGGGAUCGAACCCACACCACAGCAGUGACCAGAGCCACUGCAGUGAUUGUGCUGGAUCCUUAACCUGCUGCACCCAGGGGAACCUCCCACAUUAUGAUUCUCACCUCCUUUUUAGCCUCUUCUGCAUCAGGGAAGGAGGCAUGAGACUCAAGCUCUGCCAAUCAGAACUGACAGCAUCCAGGAGACUUGUGUUAUUAGUCGGGUUCAUUACCGCUGAGCCACAACAGGAACUCCUGCUGCUUCUUUUUAUAUUCACUACUUUGUUGCAUUUUUUGUAUUCUACAUAUGAGCGAUAUCCUACAGUAUUUGUCUUUCUCUGUUGUUCUCAUUUCACUUAGCAUAAUGUAACCUUCCUAAUAGCAUUUAGUUCAGUGGUUCUCAAAGUGUGUUUCCAAGACUUGUAUUUGAAAACUUGGAGUUCCCCAAUACGGGGACCCAGUGAGAAAUAAAAAUUCUUGGAGUUCCCGUUGUGGCUCAGCGGGUUAAGAACCUGACUAGUAUCCAUGAGGAUCUAGCUUUGAUCCCUGGCCUUGCUCAGUUCCCUAACCUGGGAACCUCCAUAUGCCAUGAGUAUGGCCCCCCAAAAGACAAAAACAAGCAAACAAGAAAUACAAAUUCUUGGGCCCACCUCAGACCUCCUGAACCAGAAACUGUGGCGGUGGGGAGUGGGGGCCUGGCCGUCCGUGUUCAACAAGCCUUCUGGGUGAUUCUGCUGCUGGCUUAAGUUUGAGAACCGCUGUUCUAGUAAUUCCCUUUCUAAUUUUAAAGCAGCAUGGACUCCACUGUUUGCAACUGAGUCCCCUGACUGAACUGGUAUUUCUAAAGCUCUGGGGGAGUUACGAGGACAGCCUAUUUGAAAGUUCUGGACAGGAGUUCCCGCUGUGGCACAGAAGAAAGGAAUCCGACUAGUAUCUAUGAGGAUGCGAGUUUGAUCUCUGGCCUCACUCAGUGGGUCGGGGAUCUGGUGUUGCUGUGAGCUGUGGUGUGGGUCGCAGAUGCGGCUUGGAUCUUGUGUUGCUGUGGCUGUGGUGUAGGCCGGCAGCUGUAGCUCCGAUUUGACCACUAGCCUGGGAACUUCCAUGUGCCGUGGGUGCGGUCCUAGAAAGCAAAAAAAAAGAGAAAGUUCUGGACACUAGCAUGCAGGCGGCUUCAUAGUCACAUUAUCAUGUGCACCCCGUCACCUUUGCCACAUUAGGUUGGUUAGAGGCAAAUCCCGGUCCCACCACAUUCAAGGGGAGGGGAUUCCACAAGGAUGCGACCAGCUGCAGGCGGGCUCACGGGGCUGCCCUAGGGCUCAGCCACCACAGGCAGCCUGAGUGGGUCCUAAAGUCAAGAUUCCAGGAGUUCCCAUCGUGGCUCAGCGGUUAACGGAUCUGACUAGGAACCAUGAGGUUGCGGGUUCGGUCCCUGCCCUUGCUCAGUGGGUUAACGAUCCGGCGUUGCCGUGAGCUGUGGUGUAGGUUGCAGACGCGGCUCGGAUCCCGCGUUGCUGUGGCUCUGGCGUAGGCUGGUGGCUAUGGCUCCGAUUCGACCCUUAGCCUGGGAACCUCCAUAUGCCGCGGGAGAGGCCCUAGAAAAGGAAAAAAGAAAAAAAAAAAGACAAAAAAAAAAAAAAGAUUCCAGUUAGAUGAACAGAGAACACACAGGAGCACACCGGUCCUCAAAAGCGGUCUUUAUAGGAAAAUUGUUCCCAUCUUAUGCCUUCAGGCCUUGACUGUAAGAAAUUUGGCCUUGGGGUUCUCUUGUGGCCCCGUGGGAGGACCUGGCAUUGUCACUGCUGUGGCUCAGGUCAGUGCUGUGGCCCAGUUUUGAUUUCUGGCCUAAGAACUUCCGCAUGCUAUAGGUAUGGCCAAAAAAAAA